rnacentral:rRNA from 1 species
AAUCAACGCUGGCGGCGUGCCUAACACAUGCAAGUCGAACGCGAAAGGGGCUUCGGUCCUGAGUAGAGUGGCGUCCGGGUGAGUAACGCGUGGGCAAUCUACCUCUGGGUGGGGAAUAACCAGUCGAAAGGCUGGCUAAUACCGCAUAAUGCAGCGGCACGACAUCGUGACAGUUGUUAAAGCAGCAAUGCGCCUGGAGAGGAGCCUGCGUCUGAUAGCUAGUUGGUGAGGUAAUGGCUCACCAAGGCUACGAUCAGUAGCUGGUCUGAGAGGACGGCCAGCCACAAUGGCACUGAAACACGGGCCAUACUCCUACGGGAGGCAGCAGUGGGGAAUUUUGCGC